rnacentral:rRNA from 1 species
GACGAACGCUGGCGGCGUGCUUAACACAUGCAAGUCGAACGGAAAGGCCCUGCUUUUGUGGGGUGCUCGAGUGGCGAACGGGUGAGUAACACGUGAGUAACCUGCCCUUGACUUUGGGAUAACUUCAGGAAACUGGGGCUAAUACCGGAUAGGAGCUCCUGCUGCAUGGUGGGGGUUGGAAAGUUUCGGCGGUUGGGGAUGGACUCGCGGCUUAUCAGCUUGUUGGUGGGGUAGUGGCUUACCAAGGCUUUGACGGGUAGCCGGCCUGAGAGGGUGACCGGCCACAUUGGGACUGGGCUACGGCCCAGACUCCUACGGGAGGCAGCAGUGGGAAAUAUUGCACAAUGGGCGGAAGCCUGAUGCAGCAACGCCGCGUGCGGGAUGACGGCCUUCGGGUUGUAAACCGCUUUCGCCUGUGACGAAGCGUGAGUGACGGUAAUGGGUAAAGAAGCACCGGCUAACUACGUG